rnacentral:rRNA from 1 species
GGUAAACUGUGGGCCAGGAGCCGCGUGAAUACAGAGACGGCAAGCGUUGUUCGGGUUCAUGGGGCGUAAAGGGGGCGUAGGCGGGCGGCUAAGUCGGAUGUGAAAUCUCACAGCCUAACUGUGAGCGGUCAUUCGAAACUGGCUGGCUUGAGGACUGGAGAGGAGACUGGAAUGGUCGGUGUAGCGGUGAAAUGCGUAGAGAUCGACCAGAACACCGGUGGCGAAGGCGGGUCUCUGGACAGUUCCUGACGCUGAGGCACGAAAGCCAGGGGAGCAAACGGGAUUAGAUACCCCGGAGUC